AAUCCAUGUACUGAUUUACAUGAAGAGUAAGCAAGCCAAAUAGUUAACCAGAGAGAGAGACCGAAACAGCAUGGCUGUUUCCACCAUCUUAGAUUGUAUUGAUUAUUCUUCGCCGUAACGUCUGUCUCUCUCACACACUCACGCUAGCUCUCUUUCUCUCCCUUUCUGUCCCUCCCUCCCUCUUUCUGCCUCUGUUCUGCCACCUUCUCUACUCGGCGAUCAGCAUUUGGCUUUUUCCAUUUGUGGCAGAUUACUGUAACGCUAUUGUACAACAACUUCCUGCCUCUUUUGGCUCUGGUUCUACAAACUGCAAAAGCAGAGCUUGUGGCUUCAACUUUUUCCCCUCGGCCUUUAACUAAAGGAGCUCUAUAAGGAAAGAAAAUGAGGAAGGAGAUAUGUAAAGUGUGUCUGUUGCUGAGGAACUAUUUUGAUUGCAUUUCUGCUUUAUAAACUGCUGAGAAUUAAAGAGGGCAAGAGGGGACUACAUGCCUAGCAGAGACAAUAAGAGAAACAAAGGAUUCAAAAAGAAGAAGAGGAGGAAGAGAGACACAGAGAGAAAAGGAGCAAGGGAAAGUUCCUCCUGGGAACAAGCUGGAAAUUAUGGACCUAUUCGAUAUCAGACCUCAGAGUGGACAACCUAUCCAAAGAGGGACGCGCCCUAACUGUAACUAACAACUACUUCUGGCAGCCCUUCAACAGCCAAACAUAUUGUCCUGGAUCAGGGCAGCUUUCCUACGGCAGCAUCGAACUAGGGCAGCUAAGGCAAGAAAUCACAUCAAACUACAGUAUCAAUAAUGGCAUUAAAAAGUUGAUAACGAUGCAUUAAAAGUAAAUGAAUGUGUUUCCUAAUGAGGUAUAGAUUUAGCUGUAAACCACGAUACCUUCAAGAUUUUGCUCAUCAUAUAAACAUGUUAAGGUGAUUCAGACUAAGACAGAUUAAACUGACAUUUCUACACCUUGAGCCAUCUGAGACAAAAGGGGAAUACUCCUGACAGUUAGCGUAGAUUUAUGUUUUAUUAAAUAUUAUCUAUCCUAUUAUUAUGUGUUAUGGUUAUGUGAUAUUAAUUAAAAUAUACUAACAUGUACUAGAUUAAUUGAAGAACCCAUUUAAAAGUUAUGUAUCAAUUGUAAUACCCAUGUUAUUAUGAUCAUUAUGAGGUAAUAUAUCAUUUCAGCAACAUUAAUAAUGGGUAUUAAGUGGUGUUACCCAAACUGCACUGUAAAAACAAUGAUCUAAGGCACUACAUUACCUGAGCCACCGGGACAAAUUCUCAAAAGUCAAUGAGGCGCAAUAAUAAAAAAGCUAAUUCUC